AUGGACCUCCUGCACAAGAACAUGAAACACCUGUGGUUCUUCCUCCUCCUGGUGGCAGCUCCCAGAUGGGUCCUGUCCCAGGUGCAGCUGCAGGAGUCGGGCCCAGGACUGGUGAAGCCUUCGGAGACCCUGUCCCUCACCUGCGUUGUCUCUGGUGGCUCCAUCAGCAGUAGUAACUGGUGGAGCUGGGUCCGCCAGCCCCCAGGGAAGGGGCUGGAGUGGAUUGGGGAAAUCUAUCAUAGUGGGAGCCCCAACUACAACCCGUCCCUCAAGAGUCGAGUCACCAUAUCAGCAGACAAGUCCAAGAACCAGUUCUCCCUGAAGCUGAGCUCUGUGACCGCCACGGACACGGCCGUGUAUUACUGUGCGAGAGACACAGUUUUAACAAUCGCUGGCACCUUUGAUUAUUAUUAUUAUUUUUUUACUUUCUCUGUUGCUUUCUCCUCAUUAGAAGGAAAAGCUACCAUAAUCACUCUUCACAGAAUAUGCUCAGGGAAAAUGCCAUCACCUAUCAACCCAGGCUGUCAUUGUGGCAUCUCUUAA